rnacentral:sRNA from 1 species
GGCACACCGGGAGAUGAGGGAGAGGAGGUCCCUACAAUCUCCUACAAUACAUUACGCUGUUUCGUUUCUCGAGGCAGGGGAAAUUGUUUAAUUGUUCUGGAAAACCGAUGCCUUUGCCUUCGGGAACGUCUUCUUUAAGGCCACCCCACCCACCCCUCUCCCCACUCCCAUCACCCCCUAGUACCUGCAAAAAGGUAUUUAUCUUAUCCAACUGGCCGCUCUCUCAUUAGAAAAAUACAGAAAUUACACGCUUUCAAUGGGGUUAAUCAUGAUAUGGAAUUGGGAGAUUGAUUGCAAACAUGAUCGAGACGAAAGCGGAGUCAAAGUGGUGAUGAUGAGGGGUUGAAAUGUCAGGCACAUGAACAUUUCCGUGUACUGCACACUGUAUAUAAAUACUAUAUACGCCCGACUGAGAUCUAACGCAAAUCCCUUGCCAUUCUCCCCGAUUUUUAUCAGCAUAGCACCCAACAACAUGGACCGCGCCCUCUUUCGCCGCAAGGCUAGUCUCGCCAGCCUCGAGAACAUGCCGCUGGACGUUGCUCGCGGGUAUCUCUGGGUUCGGUGUUCUCCAUAAGGGGUCAUUGGGGCAGAAAUUGGGCGUCGAGGUUUUUCCCGCUGAUGCACAUUCAUCAUCCAAAAUGCAUGUUCCCGACUGGCAGUAUACCUCGCAGGAACUUUGCACGACGGUGAGGCCGGCGGAGAAUGGAGGAGAACAAGAGGGAGGGAGCGCAUUGAAUAAUGGAAAGAGACAGGGAAAUCUUACUGGCAUGGAAAUAAAAACAAAACAGUCAUACCUUCCAAGGCCCGGGCUAAGUUGUUGCCGAAUGGGUUAUGGAUAAUCACGAGAGAUUCAAUGUCAUGUAUGUCAUCUGGGGUUAACAGGUCCAGAGCCCCAGCAAUGGUGAGGCUCCUACAGCAUGGAAAAACUGGAGAGAUAUAGAAGACAGAGACUCGGUCACAGCUAAUCACUGAUGUGUAUCUUAUUCUUUGGCUUCCCGAUUCCCAACCACCACCACCACCACCACCACACAUCAACCCCCUCCUUUUGGUUCUUUGUUCGCUACCGGGAUUGUGCUUUGGCCUGGCGGAUACCGAAAAAGAUCACCCCCAUGUCAGCUUCAACGCGGUUUAGUUGAAGGAGGGAAGUGAUCUUUCAUACGCGGCU